rnacentral:rRNA from 1 species
UGCGGAGGGAUCAUUACCGAGUUUACAACUCCCAAACCCCUGUGAACAUACCUAUACGUUGCCUCGGCGGAUCAGCCCGCGCCCCGUAAAAAGGGACGGCCCGCCCGAGGACCCCUAAACUCUGUUUUUAGUGGAACUUCUGAGUAAAACAAACAAAUAAAUCAAAACUUUCAACAACGGAUCUCUUGGUUCUGGCAUCGAUGAAGAACGCAGCAAAAUGCGAUAAGUAAUGUGAAUUGCAGAAUUCAGUGAAUCAUCGAAUCUUUGAACGCACAUUGCGCCCGCCAGUAUUCUGGCGGGCAUGCCUGUUCGAGCGUCAUUUCAACCCUCAAGCUCAGCUUGGUGUUGGGACUCGCGGUAACCCGCGUUCCCCAAAUCGAUUGGCGGUCACGUCGAGCUUCCAUAGCGUAGUAAUCAUACACCUCGUUACUGGUAAUCGUCGCGGCCACGCCGUAAAACCCCAACUUCUGAAUGUUGACCUCGGAUCAGGUAGGAAUACCCGCUGAACUUAAGCAUAUC